rnacentral:tRNA from 1 species
CCCACUGUAGCUCAGUUGGUAGAGCAUGGUGCUUGCAAUGCCAGGGUUGUGGGUUUGAUUCCCAUGGGGGGC